CCCUUUUGUGUGGUGCCGCGUCCCUAUCCCUGUUUCCCUCAGGCCGUGGCACAUAUUCAUGCCACCACCUUUAUGUCACAGAACUACAAUCAUUUGUUCCUUGGAAAACUCUUCUUCAUUUAGCAAGGUUUUGUUCAAACCGGAACAAUCUUGCAUACGUUUGUGAGUUUUGUCUUGAUGGAAGUUAGGAUUAGAUUGGGCCUGUAAACAGAAGAGGAUGAGAUGCAGGAGCCUGCUAUAGGAAAAACACUUGUCCUGACCUUAUCUAUACAGCAUAACGUGCAAGAAAAAGAGAAUUUCAAGCAGCCUGGAUCAUCAGAAAACCAUGCCCUUCCUGGGGGAAAUGCCACUCACUGGACAGAGAGCUGAAUCCCAAAAGACUGAAUAGAUGUCACAUUAGAAGAGAGGAGAGAGAAAGAACUGUCAUGUAAGUAAAAUAAUUAAAAGGCAAAAUAA